rnacentral:rRNA from 1 species
CGCGGCCUAUCAGCUUGUUGGUGGGGUAACGGCUCACCAAGGCAUCGACGGGUAGCUGGUCUGAGAGGACGAUCAGCCACACUGGGACUGAGACACGGCCCAGACUCCUGCGGGAGGCAGCAGUGGGGAAUCUUGCGCAAUGGGCGAAAGCCUGACGCAGCAACGCCGCGUGGGGGAUGAAGGCUCUCGGGUUGUAAACCCCUUUCAUCAGGGACGAAAUUGACGGUACCUGAAGAAGAAGCCCCGGCCAACUACGUGCCAGCAGCCGCGGUGACACGUAGGGGGCGAGCGUUGUCCGGAAUUAUUGGGCGUAAAGAGCUCGUAGGCGGUUUAGUAAGUCAGAUGUGAAAGGUUGGGGCUCAACCCUAAGACUGCAUCCGAUACUGCUAUGACUAGAGUCCGGUAGAGGAGUGUGGAAUUCCUGGUGUAGCGGUGAAAUGCGCAGAUAUCAGGAGGAACACCGACGGCGAAGGCAGCACUCUGGGCCGGUACUGACGCUCAGGAGCGAAAGCGUGGGUAGCGAACAGGAUUAGAUACCCUGGUAGUCCACGCCGUAAACGUUGGGCACUAGGUGUGGGACCUUAUCAACGGGUUCUGUGCCGUAGCUAACACAUUAAGUGCCCCGCCUGGGGAGUACGG